UUUUUUUUUUUUUUUUGCUUCGGGGAAAAAAAAGCUUUGAAGCGAUACGCAGCUGGAGCGACAGAGCUGCUGCUUCUGCGAAAGCGCCCGGACCUUCGGGAGAUGUCGGCGGCAGGAGUUUGCAGGGAUCGGUCCGUAGGUUCACCAAACGCCAGCAGCUGGGAAGGGGCAGUGUUGCACAGCGGGUGCUUUGUCCAGGCUUCGAGGAUUUUUUUCAUUAUAGAAAAACAUGAACCAGAAAACAGCGGUGGUAGCUAUCCUGAAGACAGAUCUUUGCUUGUGCACCAUCAACACAGCGAUGACACUGGCCUCAACAGUUACUGACAGCACAGGGCUGCCAUGGAAGGACUGAAAUCACCCUUCUGGUGAGGAUGCAAGGAGACAACGAAGAGCUUUAGCCUCAGCAAGUGAAGCAAGAUCUGGAGGAGUGCACUGCUUUGACACCCCUACUGCAGCCACUCCUUUGGCUGCAGCUGUGAGAUGCAGCUGAUGUAGAGUCCUUCCCCAUGGACAUCCUUAGCUAACACAGACAGCAUCCAGAAUGCAUGAUUUAACCCUCUGUGCCAUUUCACCUGGAACUGAAUGAUAUUUUGCCACCAGUAUAUUGAACACUGUACUCUUAAUAAACCAGUAGGUUAAUAAUUUUUUUUUUUUUAAUAAAAAUAAAAAAACUUCA